rnacentral:rRNA from 1 species
CUCCGNUUUAAAGUGCUCGAUUUUCGAGCNACCAUCGAAAGGGAAUCCGGUUAAGAUUCCGGNACCUGGAUAUGGAUUCUUCACGGUAACGUAACUGAACAUGGAGACGUCAGCAUGAGCCCUGGGNAGAGUUUUCUNUUCUUUUUAACAGCCUAUCACCCUGGAAUCAAUUUAUUUGGAGAUAGGNNNUCUUGGUUGGUAGAGCCUGGCACUUCUGCCGGGNCCGGUGCGCUCAUNAUGGNCCUUGAAAAUCCAUGGGAAGGAAUAGUUUUCAUGCC